rnacentral:rRNA from 1 species
UACGUAGGGGGCAAGCGUUGUUCGGAAUUACUGGGCGUAAAGGGCGCGUAGGCGGCCUUCUAAGUCGAACGUGAAAUCCCUGGGCUCAACCCAGGAACUGCGUCCGAUACUGGAAGGCUUGAAUCCGGGAGAGGGAUGCGGAAUUCCAGGUGUAGCGGUGAAAUGCGUAGAUAUCUGGAGGAACACCGGUGGCGAAGGCGGCAUCCUGGACCGGCAUUGACGCUGAGGCGCGAAAGCCAGGGGAGCAAACGGG